rnacentral:rRNA from 1 species
GACGAACGCUGGCGGCGUGCCUAAUACAUGCAAGUAGAACGCUGAAGGAGGAGCUUGCUUCUCUGGAUGAGUUGCGAACGGGUGAGUAACGCGUAGGUAACCUGCCUGGUAGCGGGGGAUAACUAUUGGAAACGAUAGCUAAUACCGCAUAAUAGUAGAUGUUGCAUGACAUUUGCUUAAAAGGUGCAAUUGCAUCACUACCAGAUGGACCUGCGUUGUAUUAGCUAGUUGGUGGGGUAACGGCUCACCAAGGCGACGAUACAUAGCCGACCUGAGAGGGUGAGCGGCCACACUGGGACUGAGACACGGCCCAGACUCCUACGGGAGGCAGCAGUAGGGAAUCUUCGGCAAUGGACGGAAGUCUGACCGAGCAACGCCGCGUGAGUGAAGAAGGUUUUCGGAUCGGAAAGCUCUGUUGUAAGAGAAGAACGAGUGUGAGAGUGGAAAGUUCACACUGUGACGGUAUCUUACCAGAAAGGGACGGCUAACUACGUG